rnacentral:tRNA from 1 species
GCCGCCAUGGUGAAAUCGGU